CUUCCCACCACCGAAGCGCACUGCCGCCCCCAAAUCUUCGCACCGCCGUCGCGCGCUGCCGCCCCCAAAGCUUCCCACCGCCGCUGCGCGGCCGCCUUCCACUUAGUCCACCGCCGGCAUAGCCACUCACCAUCGCAACCCCUCUGCCUCCCACAAAUCGAGACCCUCCACAGGACUGCAAGGCCUCCGCCCCCAACCAUCCCACCACCGACGGAAGCUCUCCAACCGAGCACUUCCGCCGUCGCCCUCCAUCACGGCAGCCCCUCCGCCCCUCCGCCGCCCCCAACAACCAACCCACUGCUGCCGACCACUACUGUCCACUAUUGUCGUCGCCUCACUCCAUAGCGGCACCGCCGAGCACCCGAUUGACACGGAGCAGCACCAUCGUCGCUGAGCCACCCCACCGGCGGCCACCAUCCUCGCCACCAACCUACUCACGCACUUACUCCUCGAGCAGGCCUCCCCGAAAGUUUCACCGAGCACCAAGCCGCGGGUCCGCCUCCUCCACACGUGCCCCCGAAGCAGCAGGUCGUCGACCCUCUCCUCAACAUCCUUUCCGUGGACUUCACUGCCUCCUAUACUUCAUUUGACAGGUGAUAUGUUGCAAUUUUUGUGCCCUUUUUUGUUCUGAAUGUGCCCUCCUAUACUUCAGCACUGAACUAUUCCGGCAGUUAGAACAAAUCAACAGUUUGUAAUUGCUUUGAUAUGAUAACGGCGAAAAAACCAUGAACCAGACAGGUUUGAAGGUUCUUUGGUUGUCUAAAAACAAUCACUACUACUGUUAGUAUCCCUUUAGAUCAAAGGACAUGUACUGUUGGUGAUUAACAAGUGCAUACCGUAAUUAAAUUGGUUGACACCUGACUGUUUAGUUGAGCUUUGGAGGUCAUUUUAAUUUGAGAUGAAACAAAGCUAAUUAUUUUAAGUGUUUGUUUGUUUAGUUGAUGCACCUACUACCAUCUUUGUUUGUGUUUUGUGAAAUACCAUAUGUGGACAGAAUAGGUGCUAUGCUUUUAUGAUAUAGAUGAUGACAUUCUUACUGCUAUUUUGGUUAUUGUAUUUUCUGAAAUGACAUGUUUCAGUUAAUUAUAUUCUGUUGUGUGAUGACAUUCCUUCUUCGUAUUGUAUUUCUUGUUGCUUGUACUAGAUACGGACGAUAUGCAUUUUUGUUACUAGAUUUUUUUCCUUAAUAGAAGUAUUCUUUCUUUCUCAUGUUAGGCAAUUUUAGUUAAAUUGGUCAAGAAUGGAUAAGAGUGGGAUGGGGAUUACGAUGAGAUGCUCAAUCUUAGUGACCAUGAUGAGGUUCAACCUGAUGAUGUUCAAGAGGAGAUCGACCUAGAUGAUUACGAUGAGAUGCUCGAGUUCUUAGGUCCCAAACGACUAGAGAUGUUGAUGACAUGCCAAGUGACGACAUUGAAGAGCAUGAAGACCAUGAGUUGGAUCAAGAAACGAAGGGGAAGAAGGAAAAAAAAGCACUAGAAUGCACAAUGUGUAUGAUUUCUGAUGUACUAUGUUGUGGAUGACAAACUGAAGGAUUGGCUAAUGGGAAGCGCUGUGAUGUAUCACAUGGCCAUACAAGCAUUUGGAAGUGGACAAGUCCAUGACGAAAGCAGGAAUGCGACCACAAGCAAGCUGAGAUUUCCCUACAGAGUUGAUGGAGCUUUGGAAGAUCUUCAAUCUGCUGAAGAGUUCGGAGAUUUGGAAGAUCUUCAAGCUAGUGAAGAUUUGGUAGACCUAUAAUUAAGUUCGUAGAGUGAUUAUGACACUUGCUCUGCUCAUUUUGCUGGUUGUUAAGCCAGUAUAUGCUCAUUUUGCUUGUGUGACACACCCUAGAAACAUAUGUACUCCUUUUGUGGCACACAUUUAGAAACAUGAUGUAUUGUACCUUUUG